rnacentral:rRNA from 1 species
ACGGGUGCGUAACGCGUAUGCAAUCUGCCUUUCACAGAGGGAUAGCCCAGAGAAAUUUGGAUUAAUACCUCAUAGUAUUACGACUCGGCAUCGAGAUGUAAUUAAAGUCACAACGGUGAAAGAUGAGCAUGCGUCCCAUUAGCUAGUUGGUAAGGUAACGGCUUACCAAGGCAACGAUGGGUAGGGGUCCUGAGAGGGAGAUCCCCCACACUGGUACUGAGACACGGACCAGACUCCUACGGGAGGCAGCAGUGAGGAAUAUUGGACAAUGGGCGCAAGCCUGAUCCAGCCAUGCCGCGUGCAGGAUGACGGUCCUAUGGAUUGUAAACUGCUUUUGUACGAGAAGAAACAUCCCGACGUGUCGGGACUUGACGGUAUCGUAAGAAUAAGGAUCGGCUAACUCCGUGCCAGCAGCCGCGGUAAUACGGAGGAUCCAAGCGUUAUCCGGAAUCAUUGGGUUUAAAGGGUCCGUAGGCGGUUUAGUAAGUCAGUGGUGAAAGCCCAUCGCUCAACGGUGGAACGGCCAUUGAUACUGCUGAACUUGAAUUACUGGGAAGUAACUAGAAUAUGUAGUGUAGCGGUGAAAUGCUUAGA